rnacentral:rRNA from 1 species
AGGGUUUGAUCAUGGCUCAGAACGUACGCUGGCGGCACGCCUAAUACAUGCAAGUCGAACGAAGUAGCAAUACUUAGUGGCAGACGGGUGAGUAACAUGUAGGUAUCUUCCCUUUGGUGAGGAAUAACACGAGGAAACUUGUGCUAAUACCUCAUAAGUCUUUACGGAGAAAGCUUUAUGCGCCAAUGGAUGAGCCUGCACUUGAUUAGUUUGUUGGUAGGGUAAUGGCCUACCAAGACAAUGAUCAAUAGCUGAUUUGAGAGGAUGAUCAGCCACAUUGGGACUGAGACACGGCCCAAACUCCUACGGGAGGCAGCAGUAGGGAAUCUUGCACAAUGGGGGAAACCCUGAUGCAGCGAUGCCGCGUGAGUGAAGAAGGCCUUUGGGUUGUAAAGCUCUUUCGUCGGGGAAGAAAAUGACUGUACCCGAAUAAGAAGGUCCGGCUAACUUCGUGCCAGCAGCCGCGGUAAUACGAAGGGACCUAGCGUAGUUCGGAAUUACUGGGCUUAAAGAGUUCGUAGGUUGUUAAAAAAGUUGGUGGUGAAAUCCCAGAGCUUAACUCUGGAACUGCCAUCAAAACUUUUUAGCUAGAGUAUGAUAGAGGAAAGCAGAAUUUCUAGUGUAGAGGUGAAAUUCGUAGAUAUUAGAAAGAAUACCAAUUGCGAAGGCAGCUUUCUGGAUCAUUACUGACACUGAGGAACGAAAGCAUGGGUAGCGAAGAGGAUUAGAUACCCUCGUAGUCCAUGCCGUAAACGAUGUGUGUUAGACGUUGGAAAUUUAUUUUCAGUGUCGCAGCGAAAGCAAUAAACACACCGCCUGGGGAGUACGACCGCAAGGUUAAAACUCAAAUGAAUUGACGGGGACCCGCACAAGUAGUGGAGCAUGUGGUUUAAUUCGAAGAUACGCGCAGAACCUUACCAACACUUGACAUGUUCGUCGCGACUUUAAGAGAUUAAAGUUUUCGGUUCGGCCGGACGAAACACAGGUGCUGCAUGGCUGUCGUCAGCUCGUGUCGUGAGAUGUUGGGUUAAGUCCCGCAACGAGCGCAACCCUCACUUUUAGUUGCCAUCAUUUAGUUGGGCACUCUGAAAGAACUGCCAGUGAUAAGCUGGAGGAAGGUGGGGAUGACGUCAAGUCCUCAUGGCCCUUACGUGUUGGGCUACACACGUGCUACAAUGGCAUUUACAAUAGGAAGCAAAACGGCGACGUUAAGCAAAUCCUAAAAAAAUGCCUCAGUUCGGAUUGUACUCUGCAACUCGAGUACAUGAAGCUGGAAUUACUAGUAAUCGCGGAUCAGCGCGCCGCGGUGAAUACGUUCCCGGGUCUUGUACACACCGCCCGUCACACCAUGGGAGUUGGUUCUACCUUAAGGCAAAGGUUAAAAACUUUGACCACGGUAUAGUCAGCGACUGGGGUGAAGUCGUAACAAGGUAGCCGUA